rnacentral:ncRNA from 1 species
CACACGGGGAGCUGGGGAUUUGGCCCGGCUGAGAGGUGGAACCCAAUUCCACGACCCUCAAACCUGAUCUGGGUAAUGCCAGCGUAGGGACCAAAAGA